GAAUUACUCAUGGUUGUUUCCAAGGAUUGCCUCUCUGGAUUCUUGAGAACUUGAACAAGAAAGGCCCGUAAAAGAAAAUGAUUCAGAAAGUCCUGAGCGAGUGAAACCGGAAAUGGGCUGUGCUUCUAUCUGGCAACCUCAUGCCCCGGAGGUGAGGAGCAGACAGC
rnacentral:lncRNA from 1 species